AUGAACGCUGGCGGCGUGCCUAAUACCUGCACGUCGAGCGAACGGACGAGAAGUUUGCUUCUCUGAUGUUAGCGGCGGACGGGUGAGUAACACGUGGAUAACUUACCUAUACGACUGGGAUAACUUAGGGAAACCGGAGCUAAUACCGAAUAAUAUUUUGAACCGCUUGGUUCAAUAGUGAAAGACGGUCUUGCUGUCAUUUAUUGAUGGCUCCGCGCGGUAUUGGUUAGUUGGUAAGUUAACGGCUUAUCAAGGCAAGGCUGCGUUGCCGACCGGAGUGGGUGAUCGGCCACAUGAGAGGGUAGACGGGGUCCAGACGCCUACGAGAGGGAGCAGAAGGGAAUCUUCCGCAGUAGGCGAAAGCCUUACGGAACAGCGCCGCGUGAGUGGUGGAGGUCUUCGGAUCGGAAAACUCUGUUAUUAGGGAAAAACAUAUGUGUAAGGAACUGUACACAUCGUGACGGUACCUAAUCAGAAAGCCACGGCUAACUACGUG
rnacentral:rRNA from 1 species